CCUACGGGGUGCAGCAGUGGGGAAUAUUGCACAAUGGGGGAAACCCUGAUGCAGCGACGCCGCGUGAGUGAAGAAGUAUCUCGGUACGGAAAGCCCUAUCAGCAGGGAAGAAAAUGACGGUACCUGACUACGAAGCCCCGGCUAACUACGUGCCAGCAGCCGCGGUAAUACGUAGGGGGCAAGCGUUAUCCGGAUUUACUGGGGGUAAAGGGAGCGUAGUGGGGAGCACAAGUCUGGAGUGAAAUACCGGGGCUUAACCCCGGAACUGCUGUGGAAACUGUGCGGCUGGAGUGGAGGAGGGGUAAGCGGAAUUCGUGGUGUAGCGGUGAAAUGCGUAGAUAUUGGGAGGAACACCGGUGGCGAAGGCGGCAUGCUGGACUGAAACUGACGUUGAGGCUCGAAAGCGUGGGGAGCGAACAGGAUUAGAUACCCGUGUAGUC
rnacentral:rRNA from 1 species